UUCUCUUCAAGCCCUUCUCUUCUCCAACCUUACAAUCGCUCUGAAUAGAGAUGGCCUCGCCUCUUUCUUUCAAACCACUCUUAACAGCAGUAUCCAGGUUCACCCCUUAAACGAAUCCUUGUCUCAUCUCAAAGUUCUUCAAGUACGAACAUUACUGGCUGGCGACUGUACUCAGCUCUUUGUAUAAAGGCACCUACUUACUACAACCUCGUACCUACUACACAUUUUGACAAGCGCUCUGGAGUCAACGAUGUGGUUUUUGGAGGAUUUUAAAGACUCCUGGCAGCAAAGUUUUGUGUGCUUGCUUCUGUGUACAGCUCUCCACCUUGGCCUCUGACUCACGGCCAUCUUCGUCCACUGCCUCGUCAUCCUCCCCUUCACUGUCGUCCUCGCCAAACGGAAAGCUCUGGUGGCCCAGGGGAGACAACAGGGACAGGGUGGAGUUGCUGCAGCUCAGAGGCAGCGGCGACAAGCACUCGGUCACCACCACCUCCUCCAGUCCUGGGCCCUGGGAGUCCUCUAUGAGGUCGGUGACAAAGCUCGAGGAAGGUCGGGGGCCCGGCCUGCAGCGGGCUACGAAGCGGGUGCACGGAACGGGAGAGCCGGCCCGCCAUGGCCCGGCCGCCUGCAUCAGGACCGCCAAGUUCAA